CCCCGGCUCGGGUUGCGAAUGAGCAGUAGAGGGAGGGGGCAGCAGAGGAGGGGACUUGGACUCCAUGUGGCUCCUUCUGUCUCUCCCAGUGCCCCCAUCGCCAGCGCUGGCCUGAAAGAAUCUCCUCCCCCGCGGUAUGUCUGUCCUCCCCCAACCCCGCCCCCAGCCUGCUGGACCUGGGGAGUCGAGUUACCCCUGGGCUCAGGCCCACUUCCUUUCUUCAGUCCCAGCGCCCCAGCCUCACUAGGCUGCUGGAGAGGAAGGGGAAAGGUCCAGAGGAGAUGUCUGAGAGGUGCGUGGAGAGACAGGCCCCAGUGGAGGUGAGCAGAGGGACCGGUGGGCUCUCCCAGCACCUCCAUUCCAGCUGGCAGCCACACCCUGUCUACAGUCCCUGGCAACCUCCAGUGAUGAAUUGAAUUCUACAGUGGUCUACAGUCGCUGGCGCCCUCUUCUGGACCAGGCUGUCCCAGCCGAGACAACUAGAAAAGAGAAUUGGAGCUAGCCUGAGCCUGGCCUUCGGGCUAUGGAAGCCUCGGAAGGUCUGUUCCCUUCGUGAUGUACACAGUCUUGUAGCAAGCUCCACAGCGUCUCAAGGGACGGGGGAAGAUCUUGCCGUGGAAGCCAUUGGGGUGGCCCUGGUUAAUUUUCCGCGAUGGGCAGAAUAGUGGCCUCUCGUCUAGGACCGUUUUCAGGUCUUGCUGAGAUCAUCUUGUGAUGGACUGGGCUCCCAGCACCCUCCCCUACCUACCCUACCUAAG